GCUCCGGUGGCUUAAGUGGUUAGAUCGUCCGUCUCGGAUGCGGGAGGUCGCGGGUUCGAACUCCGGCUGAGCCA